rnacentral:rRNA from 1 species
GUGUCGUGAGAUGUUGGGUUAAGUCCCGCAACGAGCGCAACCCUUGUCCUUAGUUGCNAGCGGUUCGGCCDGGHDCUCUAGGGAGACUGCCGGUGACAAACCGGAGGAAGGUGGGGAUGACGUCRAGUCCUCRUGGCCNUUAUGUCCAGGDCUACRCRCGUGCUACRAUGGCGCGUACRGAGGGAAGCCAAGCCGCGAGGUGGAGCAGACCCCAGAAAGCGCGUCGUAGUUCGGAUUGCAGUCUGCRACUCGACUGCAUGAAGUCGGAAUCGCUAGUAAUCGCGGAUCRGCAUGCCGCGGURAAUACGUUCC